rnacentral:rRNA from 1 species
GAACCGUACAAACGUUAUUCGGGAAUUAUUGGGCUUAAAGGGUGCGUAGGCGGCGCAGUCAGUGAGGUGUGAAAUCCCUCGGGCUCAACCGAGGAAUUGCGCUUCAUACUGCUGUGCUCGAGGGAGACAGGGGUAAGCGGAACUGAUGGUGGAGCGGUGAAAUGCGUUGAUAUUAUCAGGAACACCAGUGGCGAAAGCGGCUUACUGGGUCUCUUCUGACGCUGAGGCACGAAAGCUAGGGUAGCGAACGGGAUUAGAUACCCCGGUAGUCCUAGCUGUAAACGAUGAGCACUUGGCCGGGGAUACCCCCCAUAGGUUCCCGGCCGUAGCGAAAGGGUUAAGUGCUCCGCCUGGGGAGUAUGGUCGCAAAGGCUG